AUUGAACGCUGGCGGCAGGCCUAACACAUGCAAGUCGAGCGGCAGCGGGCCUUCGGGUGCCGGCGAGCGGCGGACGGGUGAGGAACGCGUGGGAAUCUGCCUAUAGGUGGGGGAUAGCCCGGAGAAAUCCGGAUUAAUACCGCAUAAUACCUGAGGGUUAAAACGGCGGAUCGCAAGACUUCGUGCCUAUAGAUGAGCCCACGUCAGAUUAGCUAGUUGGUAGGGUAAAGGCCUACCAAGGCGACGAUCUGUAGCUGGCCUGAGAGGGUGGCCAGCCACACUGGAACUGAGACACGGUCCAGACUCCUACGGGAGGCAGCAGUGGGGAAUAUUGGACAAUGGGCGCAAGCCUGAUCCAGCCAUGCCGCGUGUGUGAAGAAGGCCUUCGGGUUGUAAAGCACUUUAAGUUGGGAGGAAGGUUCGAUGGCUAAUAUCCAUCGGAAUUGACGUUACCAACAGAAUAAGCACCGGCUAAUUCCGUGCCAGCCGCCGCCGUAA
rnacentral:rRNA from 1 species